rnacentral:piRNA from 1 species
UGCGACUCUGAACCUAUCUAGCUGAGCUUC